rnacentral:rRNA from 1 species
AAGCUCGUAGUUGAAUUUCGGGAUCAAUGGAUCGGUCAUGCCGUUGGUAUGUACUGGUCACAUUGGUUCUCACCUUCUAAGGAACCAUGAUGUCAUUCAUUUGAUGUUGUGGGGAAUUAGGACUGUUACCUUGAAAAAAUUAGAGUGUUUAAAGCAGGCUAACGCUUGAAUACAUUAGCAUGGAAUAAUGAAAUAGGACAUCGCAUUCUAUUUUGUUGGUUUCUAGGAUCGAUGUAAUGAUUAAUAGGGAUAGUUGGGGGCAUUAGUAUUCAAUUGUCAGAGGUGAAAUUCUUGGAUUUAUUGAAGACUAACUACUGCGAAAGCAUUUGCCAAGGAUGUUUUCAUUAAUCAAGAACGAAAGUUAGGGGAUCGAGGACGAUCAGAUACCGUCGUAGUCUUAACCAUAAACUAUGCCGACUAGGGAUCGGAUGAUGUUGAUUUUUUAAUGACUCAUUCGGCACCUUACGGGAAACCAAAGUGUUUGGGUUCCGGGGGGAGUAUGGUCGCAAGGCUGAAACUUAAAGGAAUUGACGGAAGGGCACCACCAGGGGUGGAGCCUGCGGCUUAAUUUGACUCAACACGGGGAAA